rnacentral:rRNA from 1 species
AGCAGCCGCGGUAAUUCCAGCUCCAAUAGCGUAUAUUAAAGUUGUUGCAGUUAAAAAGCUCGUAGUUGAAUUUCGGGAUCAAUAUGUUGGUCGUGCCUUGGUACGUACUGGCAUUAUCGAUUCCUACCUUCUGAAGAACCUCGAUGUCAUUAAUCUGGUGUCUUGGGGAAUCAGGACUGUUACUUUGAAAAAUUAGAGUGUUUAAAGCAGGCUCGCGCUUGAAUACAUUAGCAUGGAAUAAUGAAAUAGGACGUUUGAUUCUAUUUUGUUGGUUUCUAGGAUCGACGUAAUGAUUAAUAGGGAUAGUUGGGGGCAUUAGUAUUCAAUUGUCAGAGGUGAAAUUCUUGGAUUUAUUGAAGACUAACUACUGCGAAAGCAUUUGCCAAGGAUGUUUUCAUUAAUCAAGAACGAAAGUUAGGGGAUCGAAGACGAUCAGAUACCGUCGUAGUC